rnacentral:misc_RNA from 1 species
UCAACCAUCAAGCCUGGCUUGUCGUUGGACCCUUUGCAGCUGAAAUAUGUGGCAGGUCCGAAAGAUAAUGACGGCGUCGUGUUUGACCCUAGAUGCAAUGAGCUUUUUUAUAGCACGCAUUGAAGUGGUCGGCCGACCCAGUCUUUAACCAUCAUUUUCUAA